AUCUCCCUUCAGGGAGGUCACAGCUGAGGUCAAGGCCACUUAUUAUUGCAAAGGUACUUGGAAUUGUACUUUUGAAUCUGGCCCCAUAGCAACCUCAAAUAAAAACAGAAUUCUGUAACUAAGGAGGAAGCACUCAGGCCAAAGAGAGGGCAACCUCAGGCUGCCUGUUGCGGCUGCCAUUCUGAGCACGGGACACCUUCAUGGCCCUUUUCACUGCUGGCUCUCUCCGAUCAGACCAUCCCACAGUAGCCUCAGGAAUCCGAUAGCCAGUUCUACUGUGGAAGCCGGCUUCAGACCCCAUCUGUCUUGCUGUCCCCAGAGACUGUCUAUCUGUUGCCCACAUACAUUCCAGAGCAAGUGAACACCAAGGGUUUAAAUGUGGGCACAUUUUCUACUGCAAGGAAGGAAAGACGAGUAAAGGAGAUAAACCCUGAGCUGCAGCCCGCCCGACGUCUGCCUUCUUGCAAGGAACCUGUGGAACCGGACUCCCUCGUAUCCUGGGAAGGAGCACCACACAGGAAAGGGGCUGUGCAUUUCAACUAGUUCUACCCCCAGCUGUUAAGACACCGGGCAAGACGCCCAGGGAAACAAGGUUUUGCCUGUAAACUGAAAAGAAGAGCGUCGGGAGGAAAUACCAGGGUGAGGUUCAUGGAGCAUAAGAGGCAAUGGGGGAGGCAGAGCACAUGCAUGUGUUGUGGAAGAGACGGAAUCAGGAUUCUGUGAUAUAGAAGGGAGCUGUGUGGUAAGACAGAAGGCCAGUGAUAGAUGGGUGCGCCCCACAGUGGCCGUGUAAAGGUGUUUAGGAAUGGAAGUAGCAGUUGGUGAGGCCCAGGAAGUGUCUGAAGCUGGGCAGUGAAGCACAGGGAUUCCCAACAUGCUGGACACUAUGGAGAAGCAUGAGUGAGCCACAGACAGCCGCUCAUUCUAAGGUGAUUGAUUCCCCCCACCUUUCCUCCAAGGAUAAUUUGAAGUGGGCAGCUGAAGAAAUCCAGGCUGUCAACACCUUCGAUGAAAAGAACUACUUGGAGUGCCACCGUGGGUCCACCCCCGAGUGGGGGGUGGGGAGGGGUGGGCUAUGGUUGGGAAGCUUUCUGGAGGCCUCAUGCUGGGACAUCAGGUGGCUCACCCCCAACAAGCUGAAACCGGAUAUUGCUGCCAAGUUCCUUGGAAGGCUCAACUUUGCUGCCCUUGAAAAUUUGUAUCUGUAAAAAGGCAGGGUGGGCCUGGUGUGAUGGCGCACGCCUUUAAUCCCAGCACUCUGGAGGCAGAGGCAGGCGGAUUUCUGAGUUCGAGGCCAGCCUUGUCUACAAAGUGAGUUCCAGUACAGCCAGAGCUAUACAGAGAAACCCUGUCUCGAAAAAACCAAACCAAACCAAACCAAACCAAACCAGAACAAAAAGGCAGGGUGGCCUGGGGACUGAGGGUGGGUUCUGGGUUUAGGAUGCUCACACCAGUGCAUGGGACUUGCACCAUUACUGUUAGCAUUUCUUCUAGGCUCCACUCCACAGCUACCUGGCAAUAGCCAGGUCUCUCUCCUCCCUCUCACCCCCCCACUUCCCCCUCCCCCUCCCCUCCCCCUCCCCUCCCCCUCCCCCUUCCCCCAUCUUUCUCCUCUCUCUGCCUUUCUCUGUCUCUACUACUCACUCAACCCCCCUCCCCAUGCCCUUAAUAAACUCUACUUCAGGGGGAAGGGCUGCCUCAGCAUGGGGCCUGCAAAGGCACCCCCUUCCCCUGCACCAUACUGCGCUUCUACCAAACAUCUCUGGCUUCUUUUUCCUUUUUGUAAAACACAACAAAGGUGACAUUUUAAAUCUGAACACUUUAGUAAUUCACUUGUUUCCAAUCUUUGUCAUUGACUUUAGAUGCCAAACUUGUGGUUACACUAAUAAAAUCAUUGAAAGAUGGCAAACGGUACCCAGCAUCUGGGCCUAUGGCAUCCGGGACUGGAGGGGGCUGCUCUGUGCAUCCUGGAGGUUUUGCCCUCACCUGCAUCAGCCACAAGGCUGAGGAAGGCUUGAGAACCUUGUGGAAUUAUCUGUGGUAUCUUGAGGUACGCACUUUUGACCAUCGAGACAAAGUGGCCAUUUUCCCAGCUUGCUCAGAAACUCAAGCAUAGACAGGUUUCUAGAUAAAUGGUUGAACUGGGGGCCCUUCUGAGAAUCUAGGACUGCUUUUCAUUUCUCAAAAGAACAUGCACAGAAUGGUGGGCAGGGAGAGCAGCCUCAAAACACAGCCUGGACCCCAGUUUCAGUCCUGUCCCAGAAGCAUUGUUUCUUUUUUGCUGCAGACUAGGAACUAAAUGCGGGUGUAUAGGCAGGGUCAUACUCGACCCUCACAAAAACUUACAAGGUAGUGUUAGCAAAUAUUAUAGGUCUGGGGUCAUUCAGAGAUUCACCAGCCUAUUAAUAAAUUUGAUCAAAGAAGAGGCUUUUUAUUCAGACACGGGUACCAGUUCUGCCCUGGAGAACAGAGACUCAGGAUUUCUGAAUGCAGCGCCCAGCCACUCCAGUGAGGGUUUGUAAAGGCAAAGAAUACAAAGUUACCAUUGCGCUGGUGCAGCAGAAGGGUCCUCUUUACAGAAGCAGAAACAGCCAUAAAAAACAAUGUAACCCUUAACAGCCUUAAUGUUUGGAGGCCUAGUCUUGCUUUAUAGUUCUGUUAAGUACAGAGAUGUUUAACUUUUAAACAUAAAGUUAGCCAUUGAUGUUACUUUACCUACCCUAUCUCCCGUCCAGUUAUACUCUGAGUCAAAUCAAUCCUUGACUCUGUGUUGGGUACCUGUUCAUAUUGAGACUUAAUUACCACCAGUUUAAUAGCUCAUAAGUAGGAAUUUACAUAUCUUGCCUUAGCAUUAAUGAUGCAGGGGCCAACUAUAAUCAGCAGGCAUAGGAGAGCUAAGUUGGUUGACAGCAAGAAGAACCCAAGAAAGAAUUUCCUCUCUGUGAGAUGUUUUCGAAUUUCAGCCAAAUUAUCCUGAUAUCCCUGAGUGGUUUGCAUAGAAGCGGAUGAUUUCCCCCAAGGCUACAGUGACCUCCUUGUUCUGCACAAAGCAGGUUAAACACCCUACCAUGUUGUAAGACUACCUCAGCCAAGAGUCAACGAUUCUGUUAAUUUUGCAAUGGACUUUUCUCAUGCAAAUAAAUUUUAUAAAAUAAAUGCAAAUGGGUCCUAUUUGAGGUCCUAAGUUUUUGUAGUCGACAUCAGCCAUUGCUCUGCCUGUUGCCCUGAGGGUGGCUCAAGCUGCUCCCAAUCCUAAAUUUACUAUGCAGGAUAGAAGGGCCUGUGUCUGUGCAUACGUGUGUUCUCUCCCUACUGGGACAUUAUAACGGCACAUCCAAGGAACAGGGAUGUCAAGACAGACUUUUGGGGAUUAAUGCACCUGCCAAAUAGAAAAGCAAGGGGUGCCACCCAUCAGCACACUUGUAAAACAAUCAGUUUCAACCUCGAGGUGAAGAAAGGAACACUCACCUGGAGAAGUGAUGGCUGGCAGUGAUGAGACACUUGUGACAAGUUUGCAUCUGCUCUUAAGGGGGAUCUAGACAUACAUCCUACAAAAGAGCAGGAGUUAAAUACAGUCACACAAAACAGUAGUAGUCUACAACCCUGUCGGUUUUAUCUUUGGUGGAUCUUCUCAGGCAUUGUGACAGCCCAUUUUUCUGCAGCCAGGUCUUUGUCCCCUGUGAUGUGCUUGACCUGGCAAUAAUAUAUCCAGAUGUGGACAGAUGCCAUCGACCUUGACAGCAGUGGGGGUGGUCAGGAUGACAAAGCAUGGUCCCUUCCAAUAAGGUCCCAGUUCCUUUAGACCUAAUAUUCCAGCCUUUUGUGGAGAGGUGAUGUGCUCACCUCUAUAACUGCUUCUCACUGAGACUAAGAUAUCCUUGUCAGGACCCAUGAAGGCUGGAAAGCCAGUGCAAGGCCCAGGGGUGAGGAUUCAGGUGGCGGGGGUGGAAGAGGGUAUUUAUCAGAAGCAUCUGUUUUGCUGAUACAGCUGAGGAGACAGGGAGCAAUUGCAUUGGCUGGUCUGGCUAUAGAGGUGUACAUCUGUGAUCUUAGCCUUCUGGAGGUAGAGGCAGGAGGAUCUCCAUUUGGAGGACAGCCUGGGCUACAUAGACUCUCAAGCAUCUAUAAAGAAACUUUUGUUGUUCCUGUUUUGGUGCUGAGGAUUAAAGCCAGGACCUCAUUGAGUACAUACCCCAAUACUGUCCUGUGGCCCAACCUGAGGAAGUUCUCUUGAAUUUUUAAAAUCAUCAUAUUAAAUACCCAAACUUCAUAUUAUGACCAAGUGACAAGAGGGAUGAGAAAAUGAUCACAGAAAACACAUUGAGACCUGGUUGAGUGUUGGGUCCCUUCAAAAUGGCUGCCUGGCAUCUGACAGACAGAUCAACACUACCACUGGAGGCAGCAGAGAGCCUCUCAAUUUUCCUCCCAAAUCCAUUUUGCCAGACAAUGGCAUCUCCCAUGGUGGCUCUUAGGCACUGUCCUCUCAAAUGCUGGAUCCCAGGAGGCGACAUCUCCAAAGAUGGAGCCAAAGAAGUGUCAUGUCUAAUGGUGGGUCUCAGGUGGUGGCACUUUCAAUGAUGGAGCCCAGGUGGUGAAUGUUGAGGUCCAGACAACAGCAAGCAAGGGACAUUGUCACUUGUAAUGGUGGGACACAGGGGAUGGUACACAUAAUAGUGUGUGGCAAAUGUUGAGAUACAUGUGAUGAAAUCUUUAAUGUUGGGGUAGUGAUUUCACCUCUCUCCUAAUUAAGAUUACCAUUGCUGUGAUGACACACCAUGACUAAAAGCAACUUAGGGAAGAAAGGGUUUAUUUGGCUUACAUAUACAGACAGAGUCACAGAGGGAAGUCAAGGCAGGAACUCAAAAUAGGUGGGAACUUGGAGGCAGGAGCUGAUGCAGAGGCCAUGGAGGGAUACUACUUACUGGCUUUCUCUCAUGGCUUGCUCAGCUGCUUCCUUAUAGACCCCAGGACUGCCACUCAGUGUGGCAUAACCUGAAAUGGGCUAGGAUCUCCCACAUCAAUCACUAAUUAAUAAAAUGCCCUACAGCCCAAUCUUAUGGAGGUAUUUCUCAGUUAAGGUUGCCUUCUUUCAGAUGACUCUAGAUUGUGUCAAGCUGAUGUAAAAAUAGCAAGGACAGGGCUGGAGAGAUGGCUCAGAGGUUAAGAGCACUGGCUGCUCUUCCACAAGUCCUGAGUUCAAUUCCAGCAACUACAUGGUAGCUCACAAUUAUUUAUACUGUGAUCUGAUGGCCUCUUCUGGCAUACAAGUGUUCAUGUAAAUAGAGCACUCAUAUACAUAAAAAAAAAAAGGCUAGGACAACUGUCCAAUAGU
rnacentral:lncRNA from 1 species